GACGAACGCUGGCGGCGCGCUUAACACAUGCAAGUCGAACGGAAAGGCACUGCUUUUGUGGGGUGCUCGAGUGGCGAACGGGUGCGUAACACGUGAGUAACCUGCCCUUGACUUUGGGAUAACUUCAGGAAACUGGGGUUAAUACCGGAUAGGAGCUCCUGCUGCAUGGUGGGGGUUGGAAAGUUUCGGCGGUUGGGGAUGGACUCGCGGCUUAUCAGCUUGUUGGUUGGGUAGUGGCUUACCAAGGCUUUGACGGGUAGCCGGCCUGAGAGGGUGACCGGCCACAUUGGGACUGAGAUACGGCCCAGACUCCUACGGUAGGCAGCAGUGGGGAAUAUUGCACAAUGGGCGGAAGCCUGAGGCAGCAACGCCGCGGGCGGGAUGACGGCCUGCGGGUUGUAAACCGCUUUCGCCUAUGACGAAGCGGUAGUGACGGUAAUGGGUAAAGAAGCACCGGCUAACUACGUG
rnacentral:rRNA from 1 species